rnacentral:rRNA from 1 species
GUACACACCGCCCGUCACACCAUGGGAGUGGGUUGCAAAAGAAGUAGGUAGCUUAACCUUCGGGAGGGCGCUUACCACUUUGUGAUUCAUGACUGGGGUGAAGUCGUAACAAGGUAACCGUAGGGGAACCUGCGGUUGGAUCACCUCCUUACCUUAAAGAAGC